GACGAACGUUGGCGGCGUGCUUAAUACAUGCAAGUCAACUGAAGCAGUGGUAGCAAUAUCGCUGUGGAGGUGGCGCACGGGUGAGUAACACGUAGGUAAUCUGCCUUCAGGUCUGGCAUAACUCCGGGAAACCGGGGCUAAUAGCAGAUGAUGCAGCGGCUCGACAUCGAGACAGUUGUUAAAGCUAUGGCGCCUGAAGAUGAGCCUGCGUCUGAUUAGCUAGUUGGCGGGGUAACGGCCCACCAAGGCAACGAUCAGUAGCUGGUCUGAGAGGAUGAUCAGCCACACUGGAACGGAGACACGGUCCAAGCUCCUACGGGAGGCAGCAGUAAGGAAUAUUGAUCAAUGGGAGAAAUCCUAAAGCAGCAACGCCGCGUGAGGGACGAAGGGCGUUUGCUUGUAAACCUCUGUAGUGAGAGAAAAAAAUCCCAAUCUUUGGGACAUGAUGGUACCUCAAAAGUAAGCCCCGGCUAACUACGUG
rnacentral:rRNA from 1 species